GGGCCCGCACAAGCAGUGGAGCAUGUGGUUUAAUUCGAUGCAACGCGAAGAACCUUACCCAGACUUGACAUGCAGAGGACAGCACCAGAGAUGGUGUGUUCCGCAAGGACCUCUGUGCAGGUGCUGCAUGGCUGUCGUCAGCUCGUGUCGUGAGAUGUCGGUUAAGUCCCUUAACGAGCGAAACCCUUGUCCUUAGUUGCCAGCGAGUAAUGUCGGGGACUCUAAGGAGACUGCCGGUGUUAAACCGGAGGAAGGUGGGGAUGACGUCAAGUCCUCAUGGCCUUAUGCCUGGGGCUGCACACGUCCUACAAUGCGGCGUACAAAGGCGAUGCAAGAUCGUGAGAUGGAGCAAA
rnacentral:rRNA from 1 species